UUUCCAUUGGCAAUGAAAGGAACCGCUGCGACAGCUGCAGAGGCAGAUCCAGAAGUCCUUUAAUUUAAAGUCUGUGGGCAUAGACACCCGAUCAAAUUUGCCAGCAAGGGCUUGAGAAAGAACAAGACGUACAGAGACAGGUGAUACAGACCCAUAUAUUGAAACCAUUUAACAUCCCAAGCAGCUUGAAAUCUGGUCAGCGCUGAUGAACAAUGGGGAAGAAGAAUAAUGACUAUCCCCACUUCAAAGAGGGUCGUCCAAUGAAGCUGAAUGUUGGAUGACUCAGUACAGACAAAGGAAAGUACUUCAAAUAGCACGUAGUUAAACUACGGAAUAAUUUGCUCCCUUGGGAUAGCAUAAUGACCACUAACUUGGAUGGCUUUAAAAGAGGAUUAGACAAAUUCAUGGAAGAGAAAGCUAUCAGUGGAUACUAUCCAUAAUAUACAUAGCUGUGUUACACCUCCACUGUCAAAAGAAGUAUGCUUCUGAAUACCAGACCCUGGGAACCAGAAGGUGGGAGAAUGCAGUUUGCGCUCAAGUCCAGCUUGCAACCUUCCCAUGGGCAUCUGCUUGGCCACUCUGAGAACAGGAUGUAGGGCUAUAUUUGUCUUCUAUUUGAUCCAGCAGGUUUCUUACUUGUUCCAAGGGCUAAAGGCUCCAUACAAUUCUGCCACCACAGGGAACCUGCUGCAAAUAACUUCCAUAUGACUGAGGUGAUGAAGAACAGCUGGAAUUCACAUGGUUGCUCCAAAAUGCAGGGAAAAUCUCCACACUGGCACCAAAAGCCCCGAGGACUGUGCCAAAUGGUGUGGUUUAUUGAUUUCAAAUGUUAAAACUGCUGCACAAAAGACUACCACGUUGAUUUAAUCUACUCAGUGAAUUGCUGCUUUCAGCCUUAACACGACACAAAAUUAAUAAUUUAUAAAACUAAACAAAGAGGGCUUUAAAAAACCCUACUAAUGCAAGUUAAGCAGACAAACAGAUAAAGAAAUUGUGAUUUCUAAAGCAGUGCACUGCUUUCUCUCUACCUUAGCUCUAAACGCAUGCGACUUGGUAGCCACAAGUUAGAAGUCAUUAGUCUCUUGCAAUUGCAAAUGUCAAGUGAAACAGCCCUUAGCAGGGCCAGCCCACUCAAGAAGCAGAGUGAAGCAGCCAUCUCAGUUGGCAGAAGCCCCCGAGGUGGUGCGCCUGUGAGUGGCUUGCCACU